rnacentral:lncRNA from 1 species
AGCCCCUGGGAAUCCUGUGGAUCCCACACAAGGAGGCACGAGGGCACAGGCAAGGGUGUAAGGUCAUGUCAUCUGCGUCCCACAGGGGGUGUCUGCAUUGUCGCCAGGCUUCUGGCCAGUGGCCCUCGUCCUUUCCCUGAAAUGGUGAGUGACCUUCAUCCCCAUUUUCCUAGGAUCCUCAGGCAGCUCUCAGCCUUUCACAUGUUCUCGUUGCUUCUCUAACCCCAGAUCCCAGAUGCUGUGAUCUUUUGUUGGUGCCUCCCUCCCUGUCUCCCAACAUUUUGGAUACUCAGGGAAUAGAGGGGAGACACGCUUGUUGUUGCUCUCUACUAAAUUCUCUGUGUCACUUAAGCAUUUAUGAGCAAGAAUGUUUAUAAGAUCCUGGAUUUAAUCGUGAACUAGAAAGAAGAACUUGGGAGAACAGUUCCUUUGUUCCUGGACUCUUGAAGAGGUUGUCUGACCUUUUCCUUUCUCCUUGACCCCUCUUCUCCAUCUGCUGUCCCUGCAGAGCUGACCUUCAGAGCAGGAAGAGGACUAAAGAGCCCCCAUCCCCACCCCCGCCCUGCUCCCCUUGGCCACACACAGCUUCCGGCCCAGACCACUGGGUAGCUUUCCCGGGCUCAUGCCCUGCCCUUGGGAAGAAGCCAGAGGCAGCUGGCAGUUAUGCUGGACUGCUUUUCAGGGUUGACCGUGAGCAAAGGAAGAGGGGCUGGAGAGUCUCUGGAAGUGGAAAUGGGACAGAUUCUCUUAGUAAAUCUAGAAGUGCUUGCAGUCGGGUGCUGGCUGAUCCGGCAAAAGUUGGGUCAACCCAGGGCAAAACAGAAUGCUCUGCUUUCGUCUUCUCAGCCCAGCCUCCCCUCUGCUUUCCUCCCUCUACGUCCUCCUGUUACAUAUGCAACUCGUCUUCCCCAGCUAGUGGUGGCAUCGCUGGAGCUUACCAGGGUAACUCCAGCUCGCAGAAUCUUUGGAAACUUAAAUGAGACCGCUGACGCCAGGGUGUAGGGAGGGUAUCAGGAACCCCCUGGGUUGGGGGCAGUGAUAGUACAAGUGGCAUUUCCUAGGAGAGGAGAAAGCCCUGGUUCCCAGGAGAGGGGAAAGUCCUGGUUUUCUUAACACAGGCUCCAGCAAGUACAGUUUGUGUUGAUCAAAAGUGGGAAUUGGUUAAAAAUAGAUUGAGAAGCAGUUACGCAGUUGAUGCAGUAUUUUACUACUGGCACUCAGAAAAGUUCAUAUGAACUAAGAUCAUCUGAGUUGAGUCAUCUGUCAGCUCCUCCCAUCACCGGAAGGAUUCAGGUCCCACAGUGAAGAGAAGACAUCAAGAGAAGUAGGGGAGUGGGGGUGAGGGGACCACGCAAAUGGAGUAUUCCUUUGACACGGGUCUGGGGUCCUUUUUUUUUUUUUUUUUUUUUGGCCUUGGGCCCUUUCUGUGCCCUAACAGUGAAUUAGCACCUGAGAGUCCCCUUCUGUCUCAAGAAGUCUCUGCCGGAUAUGACACUAAAAGCCUACAUCAGAAGUUCUCGUUGUGGCGCAGCGGAAAUGAAUCUGAACCGUGAGGUUGUGGAUUUGAUCCCCGGCCUCUAUCAGUGGGUUAGAGAUCUGGCGUUGCCAUGAGCUGUGGUGUAGGUUGCAGAUGCGGCUUGGAUCUGGCAUUGCUGUGGCUCUGGUGUAGGCCAGCAGCAACAGCUUCGAUUAGACCCUAGCCUGGGAACC